rnacentral:rRNA from 1 species
GACGUAGGGCGCGAGCGUUGUCCGGAUUUACUGGGCGUAAAGAGCGCGCAGGCGGCUGGUCAAGUCCGAUGUGAAAGCUCCCGGCUUAACUGGGAAAUUGCAUCGGAAACUGAUCGGCUGGAAGGUGGGAGAGGGUAGCGGAAUUCCCGGUGUAGUGGUGAAAUGCGUAGAUAUCGGGAGGAACACCCAGGGGGAAACCAGUCGACUGGGCAUCUACUGACGCUGAGGUGCGAGAGCGUGGGGAGCGAACCGG